AAUAACUUUUGGUUUGUGUAUGAGAUUACAAUCUCAGGCUAUAAAAUAGUUCUUAUGCAACUCACUUUCUAAAUUUUUGCUACUAUUACUGGUGUAGUAUUUUGCUGUAAAUGUUUUUAAAUACAAUUUAAAAAUGUUUAUCAAGUUAUUGAUACCUGUGAUUUAAAUCAAAAGCCACAAAAAAGGGGAUUUAAUUUAGAACUGCUGCAAAAAGCAUGAGUUUUAGAGCAGAUUCCCAGAUAAGGUUUUAUUCUGAAAUACAAUCUACCUGCUUACAGAAGUUUUGGUUAGAUGAGAGGCACAUACAUUGCCUUUGAAAACAGAUACACACACACAUGCUCACACCCAGAGCACACAUGGGUCACACCACCCUGGAAGUCACAGUGGAUACAGUCUUUUCUUCAGGCUUGAAACAAGAGUAAAUAAAUCGACCACGGUCUUGGGUACAAAGAGCAUACAGGAAUACCUGAACAUUCACUCAUAUGUCAGCAUGAGCUAAAUUUCAUAGAUGUUAUUUGAUAGUAAGAGCCAUAAGACAGGAAGAGAGACAGACUGACAAAACAGUUAAGCAUGGGCUUAACUUUAAGUUUGUAUCUAAAUCCUUAUGAAGUCAACAGCUAUGCUGUUGGGAGCUAUGCCAGUGUGCAGCUGAAGAUGUGACCAUCCUAGUUUACUUCAUGUAAGCAUGUUGUUACUAAGUUUGUAAGCAGAAAUGGAGUUAGACAACUAUUUGUAAGUGUUGUGAAAAACAUAUUAGCAAAAUUUUUAUAUUGGCUAGUGCAAAAGAAUAAUAAAAUCAAAGAGAAACUACUUGUCAUCACGUCAGCAAGAAACAGUGUGCACGAUUUAUUUCUAUUUCAUUCCAAUUUUAUUAUUAACAGAGCUCCAAUGCUUUCAAUGCACAUAAAGCCACCAUAGCACAGAGGCAAAUCAAUUGAGCUUGGUUUCAUUUUGGACAGCAUUGGGAGCAUCUGCUAAAUGUACAACAAGACCAACUUUCUACCCCAACAUAUUAUAAUAGAUGAGAAACAGGAGAGGAUUUUUUUUUUUUAAUUAUAAUGCUUCCAUCUUUUGUAUUGAUUUUGACAGGCCAUUGGACCCAUUAAAGAAGACAAUGUUUGCUCCUUCACUUCUUGCAUUGUAGAUACAAGCAAAAAGACUAUCCACCUUGAUCCUGAAACUUAUUCUACCCCACUAGGAACUUCAGGAAUGAACUUACUAACUUUAGUGGGGCAAGAACCUAAAGAAUCUGUUAAGGAAAGCAGGAAUCACUGAAGCAAAGAAGGAUCCACAUCAGGCAUUCUGUCCUUUGACAACAAGAAAAUACCAGCAUCUCUUUUGCAAUUUGGAAUUUCUGCUGUACCAGUAUACAAGACUUCAGAGAGAAAAUAUCUGGCAAGAGGAAAAGCCUUGUCUCAAAGCUUCCAUUUUAUAUAUUACACAAUUUAACUUCUCUGACCAAGGAAGGUGGUGACUGCCAACUCUUCUUCCCUGAGAGCCAGAAGGAAUAGCAGAGCAUAGAGGUAGUCAGUACACAUUUUAAUGUACUGCUGUCUCAUGCACUCUGGACCAUCAAGAGAAAAACUGUGUGUUACUUGUAAGGCUUCCACUCCAGUGAAUCUCAUCUGUUUGGCUCUCCUCCUAAUAAUACCAACCAGCACCCCGCAAACAUGCUCAUACUGUAUUAGAAUAUAACAAUUUUAUAAAUGUGGAAAAGAGACAUUUUUUGAAGUCAAUGACUGCAGCUAGCAAAAGCCACCUCAUACACUGCAGACCACUUGUGCAAGUCAAGGCCUUUUUGUCAGAGAAUACCUUUAUUUCAUUAACUGAUAUUAAGCUGAAUUUUUUUUUCCACCUUGCAUGUCCUCAGUCACUGGCAUUUUUCAUGUGACAAAGCAAAUGCUAAUUCUCUAUGGGCUGUAAGGGAAAACAGCUGCUAGUUAUAAUGGAGGUUUUGAGAGCACUUGGUCAACAAAACUGCAUAGGUUUAAGUACCUCCAGACUGUAUUACAUCUGUCAAAGCAGCAGCAAAUACAACAUAAAAUGUAGAGUAGGUCCCAUUUUUAGUGUGUCAGUAGAAUCAGCCUGCAGUUAUUUUUAACUGCCUUGGAAAGCUUAGCAGGCAGAUACAGUUAAUCCUUUAAAGGAUUUGCAGGUAUUCAUAGCUUAAUAAGUAAGCAUAGUGGAUUAAACCAAUAGAAGAUUGUAGACAGUCAAAGACAACCAUUACAUGCUAACAUUCAAAAAAUAAAAAGAACAGUUUCUUUUGUAUACUUUUUUUCCUGACAAUUGCUCUCAAUUGUCAGUAUGGGCCAGAAUCCCAUACAGUGAUGAAAUAAAAACGUUAAUUAGAGUCAUUAAAGUCAACAUGUGUGAUAUUUAAA